GACGAACGCUGGCGGCGUGCUUAACACAUGCAAGUCGAACGGGCCCGCCCCUGUUUUUGGGGGUGGGUUGAGUGGCGAACGGGUGAGUAUCACGUGAGUAACCUGCCCCCUGCUCCUGGAUAACUGCUUGAAAGGGCGGCUAAUACGGGGUGUGCCGGCUGGUCCGCAUGGGCCUGGUCGGGAUAGUUUCAUCUUCGGGUGUUUCGGUGGGGGAUGGGCUCGCGGCCUAUCAGCUUGUUGGGGGGGUGAUGGCCCACCAAGGCGGUGACGGGUAGCCGGCCUGAGAGGGUGGGCGGCCACACUGGGACUGAGACACGGCCCAGACUCCGGCGGGAGGCAGCAGUGGGGGGUAUUGCACAAUGGGCGGAAGCCUGAUGCAGCGACGUCGCGUGAGGGAUGGAGGCCUUCGGGUUGUGAACCUCUUUCUCCGGUGGUGAAGGCCCUGUCCGUUGCGGCGGGGUUGACGGUAGCCGGGGAUGAAGCGCCGGCUAACUACGUG
rnacentral:rRNA from 1 species